AUCCUGGUAGUACAUCGGUUAGUACACGCGCCAUUCAUGAACUGAACAAUACUUUACGAUGAUAUUGGCUUGUGAAUGUUCUGUGCGAAAGCUGGGCUCGACUCCCAGCCAGGGUC